GACAGAGGUGCCAAGCGUUAGGCGGAAUCACUGGGCUUAAAGCGUGUGUAGGCGGGUCGUUAAGUACCUUGUGAAAUCCCCCGGCUCAACCGGGGAACGGCUGGGUAUACUGGCGAUCUUGAGCCACCUAGGGGCAGUCGGAACAAGUGGUGGAGCGGUGAAAUGCGUAGAUAUCACUUGGAACGCCAAUGGUGAAAACAGACUGCUGGGGGUGUGCUGACGCUGAGACACGAAAGCCAGGGGAGCAAACGGG
rnacentral:rRNA from 1 species